CCGGACCACACAGAUUGUUGAAAAUAAAAACAAACUGAUAAGAAGAAAGUUUUCUGGUUAUUACAGUGUAGCUCCAUCCACUAAACUGGAGCCAUUUUAUUGGGCUAUUUGAGAGAGGAUAAAUAUUUUUUUUAGAUUUGUUUUAUGUUCUACUAAUUUUAAUUUUUUUGAAAUGAACAUAGUUUAGUUUUUACAGUGAACUGAAGUUGGAUUUUGAAUUUACUGUUAGUUGUAAGGUUAUUAAGAAAAUCUAUAUUUGGAAUUAAAAUUAUAUUUUUCAUAUUUACAACACAAUAAUGUAUUUAAUACAAUGACAGUGGCAUGGUGACAUAUUCCUUAUUUUGGACAUUUUAUUUAGAAUCUCUGAGCCACAGAUUGGGCGCCACUCAUAGGUUGUUCAGACAGGAAGAGAAUGUGGCUUUUCUAUUCAGCCGUGUUCCAUUAUCAGGCUGUAUUUUACCCCGGGAGAUAUAGGCCUCCUGGACCACGCCUCCUAAAAAAAGAACAUUUUGUUCACAGAACUACACAGGUUUGCAUUGCAGACCACGUGUCACAUUAAGUAACAAGCUCUGAGGUCAACUUACUCAACUUCUUGCACAUUUUUUAAGGCGGUGUAAUGUGUUGCUACAUGCUGGCCCACAGUGUGAAAUCAGUUCGAAGCUGGGUCGGAUUUAAUUUGGAUUUUCUGAUCGGAUUUUUAGUGGUCAGGUUUUACUCUUCGGAUUGGAUCAGAAACCUCCCCCGGAUCCCUUCACCCCGUCUUUCAGUCGACUUUUCAAAGCAUAAUUUGAGUGUGCAGGCUUGAAGAAGUCACCGCGUGGGUGGGAAAAAUGGGUGAUUGGCUGUGAUUGCAACAUCAUCCUCAGCUGCAGAGGUAGGUGUGAAGAGUGCUGAUCUCAGAUCACCUGCAAUCUAAUAUAAAACAGACACAAUGAUGCAGAUAUGAACUAUAUUUUAUUUGCAGAUGCAUCCUUUGCUACAAAUGAUCAAGCGUUAUUGCAUUUUAGGCAAGAUAUUUAUUUAGCAUUUACAAAAAGAUUAUCAAAUUGUUUAUUUGCAUUUCCUUUCUCAUGUUGUAUAUAAUAAUUGUAAGUAGUUAAAUAAAACAUUUGCAGAAA